rnacentral:rRNA from 1 species
AGAUACUGUCAUUAUCAUCUCUGGCGAAAGAGCUUUACGACCCUAAGGCCUUCGUCACUCACGCGGCAUGGCUAGAUCAGGCUUGCGCCCAUUGUCUAAGAUUCCC